rnacentral:rRNA from 1 species
UACGUAGGGUGCGAGCGUUGUCCGGAAUUAUUGGGCGUAAAGAGCUCGUAGGCGGUUUGUCGCGUCGGCCCGUGAAAAACUUGGGGCUUAACCCCAAGCCUGCGGUCGAUACGGGCAGACUUGAGUUCGGCAGGGGAGACUGGAAUUCCUGGUGUAGCGGUGAAAUGCGCAGAUAUCAGGAGGAACACCGGUGGCGAAGGCGGGUCUCUGGGCCGAUACUGACGCUGAGGAGCGAAAGCGUGGGGAGCGAACAGG